CGAAAUAUAACUUAACUAAAGUAUCUCGCUUACACCGAGAAAAUACCUGUGAAAUCCAGAUUAUUUCGA
rnacentral:tRNA from 1 species